rnacentral:rRNA from 1 species
AUUGAACGCUGGCGGCAUGCUUUACACAUGCAAGUCGAACGGUAACAGGCCUUCGGGCGCUGACGAGUGGCGAACGGGUGAGUAAUGCAUCGGAACGUGCCCAGUCGUGGGGGAUAACGCAGCGAAAGCUGUGCUAAUACCGCAUACGAUCUGCGGAUGAAAGCGGGGGACCUUCGGGCCUCGCGCGAUGGGAGCGGCCGAUGUCAGAGUAGGUAGUUGGUGGGAUACAGGCUCACCAAGCCAACGAUCUGUAGCUGGUCUGAGAGGACGACCAGCCACACUGGGACUGAGACACGGCCCAGACUCCUACGGGAGGCAGCAGUGGGGAAUUUUGGACAAUGGGCGCGAGCCUGAUCCAGCAAUGCCGCGUGCAGGAAGAAGGCCUUCGGGUUGUAAACUGCUUUUGUACGGAGCGAAAAGGCUCCCUCUAAUACAGGGGGCUCAUGACGGUACCGUAAGAAUAAGCACCGGCUAACUACGUGCCAGCAGCCGCAGUAAUAC